rnacentral:rRNA from 1 species
AACGGCGAGUGAAGCGGCAACAGCUCAAAUUUGAAAUCUGGCUCUCAGGGCCCGAGUUGUAAUUUGUAGAGGAUGCUUUUGGCGAGGUGCCUUCCGAGUUCCCUGGAACGGGACGCCACAGAGGGUGAGAGCCCCGUAUGGUCGGACACCGAGCCUCUGUAAAGCUCCUUCGACGAGUCGAGUAGUUUGGGAAUGCUGCUCAAAAUGGGAGGUAUAUGUCUUCUAAAGCUAAAUAUUGGCCAGAGACCGAUAGCGCACAAGUAGAGUGAUCGAAAGAUGAAAAGCACUUUGAAAAGAGGGUUAAAAAGUACGUGAAAUUGUUGAAAGGGAAGCGCCUAUGACCAGACUUGCGCCCGGUGAAUCACCCAGCGUUCUCGCUGGUGCACUUUGCCGGGCACAGGCCAGCAUCAGUUCAGCGCGGGGGAGAAAGGCUUCGGGAAUGUGGCUCCCUCGGGAGUGUUAUAGCCCGCUGCGUAAUGCCCUGCGCCGGACUGAGGUACGCGCAUUGCAAGGAUGCUGGCGUAAUGGUCAUCAGCGACCCGUCUUGAAACACGGACCAAGGAGUCGUCUUCGUAUGCGAGUGUUCGGGUGUCAAACCCCUACGCGUAAUGAAAGUGAACGUAGGUGAGAGCUUCGGCGCAUCACCGACCGAUCCUGAUGUUCUCGGAUGGAUUUGAGUAAGAGCAUACGGGGCCGGACCCGAAAGAAGGUGAACUAUGCCUGUAUAGGGUGAAGCCAGAGGAAACUCUGGUGGAGGCUCGCAGCGGUUCUGACGUGCGAAUCGAUCGUCAAAUAUGGGCAUGGGGGCGAAAGACUAAUCGAACCUUCUAGUAGCUGGUUUCCGCCGAAGUUUCCCUCAGGAUAGCAGUGUUGAACUCAGUUUUAUGAGGUAAAGCGAAUGAUUAGGGACUCGGGGGCGCUAUAUUGCCUUCAUCCAUUCUCAAACUUUAAAUAUGUAAGAAGCCCUUGUUACUUGAUUGAACGUGGGCAUUCGAAUGUAUCAACACUAGUGGGCCAUUUUUGUAAGCAGAACUGGCGAUGCGGGAUGAACCGAACGCGAGGUUAAGGUGCCGGAGUGGACGCUCAUCAGACACCACAAAAGGUGUUAGUACAUCUUGACAGCAGGACGGUGGCCAUGGAAGUCGGAAUCCGCUAAGGACUGUGUAACAACUCACCUGCCGAAUGUACUAGCCCUGAAAAUGGAUGGCGCUCAAGCGUUCCACCCAUACCUCGCCCUCAGGGUAGGAACGAAGCCCUGAGGAGUAGGCGGACGUGGAGGUCAGUGACG